rnacentral:lncRNA from 1 species
UUUUUUUUUUUUUUUUUUUCUAAAAAGCUACGGGUAGCUGUAGCUACUGGCCUGCACCACAGCCACAGAAACGUGGGAUCUGAGCCAUGUCUGCAACCUACACCACACUUCAUGGCAAUGCCUGAUCUUUUAACCCACUGAGUGAGUCCAGGGAUCAAACUUGCAUCUUAAGGAUACUAAUCGGGUUUCUAACCUGCUGAGCCACAAUGGGAGCUCUCUUCUCUAUUCCAUCUUUCUGUUCCUUCAUAAGCAAUCACUGUUCUAAUUUCUAUUCUUCCAGAUUGGUUUUGUCUUUUUUUAACCCUAUAUAGGAAGCAUGAAGUACAAUGUAGCAGUUUUAAUCUAGCUCAUUUGCUUGGCAUUUUUGAAAUGACUACUUGUAUAUAUCAGUGGUUCUUUCCUUUUUUAUUGUUGAAUAGUAUUUUUUUAAAAUCUAUUCUCCUACUGAUGCAAAUUUGGUUUAUUUCAAUUUAUGGGUAUUGCAAAUUAAAAUUCUAUGAAAAAAUUUGCACAAUUUCUUGGGGACAUAUGUUUUCAUUACCUAGCAGUGAAAUCAUUGUGCAGUAAGACAGAUGUACAUUUAAUUUUAUAAGACAUGACUGAGUAGUUCUCCAAAGUAUACAAUCUCCACUCCCAUCAGAAACACAGAAGAGUUGCAGUGCUAUACAUUUUUGUUAAAACCUGAUGUUGGCCACCUUCCGACGUUUACCUAUUCCAGUUCUCAUACAGUUUAUUAGAUCGGGGGUUUCCAUAGUUAGUGUUGUAUGGAAAUCCAGUUCACUAUAUUAAAACCCAAUAUUCACACACGUAAAAAUAACUAUGAGAGAGACAGAUGGUAGCAGAAAUGUUGAAAUUAGCUCUUACAGCCCAAAUUAGAAAUAUUUUAAUAACUCUGGAAUACAUGGGUAUAAAACAGUAUCUACUCCUCCUGUCUCUGUUAUUACUUAGGUAAAAAGUUCUUUAGACUCAUACAUAUAAAUUUACAGGAUUAAUGGCUAAAUUUUAUACCACAACAGAAGAAUCUAAUCCAUAGCUCAUGUCUAAGAUCUUGGAUAUCUCAUAUUUUGUGAUAUUGAACUUACGGAUCUCUUCUUCACCAACCUCAAAAGAAAUAACCGUACUGAGUUAAAAAAUAAAAAAGUUAGGUGAGCUCUUUGUACCUUUCUACAGUUACAUUUAACUUUACAUAACUCAUAAAUACUGUUGCUAAUUAAUUAUAUACAAAUUUAUCACUCUCAUGUUAUACAAUGAUUUUAAUGAAUGAAAGGGGAUUAAGAUGCCCGAAUAGGACAGGAGCUCAACUUCUCUCCUAAAAAACAACAAAAUUUACAAUCAAAUGCUGAGCAAUCUUCAAGCAAAUGGACUGGAAACCUUCAAAAAGAUAUCCUACGCCAGAAGACAAAGAGGAGGCCAAAUCAAAAGGUAGGAAGGGCGAUUAUGCAAUAUAAGCAACCCCAUACCUCCUGCAUGAGAAGCCCCACAGACUGGAAAGUAACUGCAUCACAGAGCCUCAGCUACAGGAGUGAGAGUUCUGAACCCCACAUCAAACCCCCAUGCGUGGGGAUCUAGCACUGGAAGAAAGAGCCCCCAGAGCACCUGGCAUUGAAAGGCAGUGGGGCUUGUGUGCAGGAGCUUCAUGGGACUCGGGGAAGCAGAGGCCCCAUUCUUGGAAGAAGGACACAGACUUUCACAUGCAGUGGGUCCCAGGGCAGAGCAGGGUCUCCGUGGGAAAUCUCAGUCAGUUCUUGGAGGACCUCCUGGGAAAGCAGAAGUGAAUGUG